rnacentral:rRNA from 1 species
CAAUGGGCGAAAGCCUGAUGGUGCGACGCCGCGUGGAGGAUGACAGCCCUAGGGUUGUAAACUCCUGUCAUGAGAGAGUAAAGACUUAACGUAAAUACCGUUGGGUCCUGAUAGUAUCUCAAGAGGAAGGGACGGCUAACUUCGUGCCAGCAGCCGCGGUAAUACGAAGGUCCCAAGCGUUGUUCGGAAUUACUGGGCGUAAAGCGUGCGUAGGUGGCAUGGUAAGUCAGAUGUGAAAUCCCGGGGCUCAACCCCGGAACUGCAUCCGAUACUGCCAAGCUAGAGUAGUGGAGGGGAGUCUGGAAUUCACGGUGUAGCAGUGAAAUGCGUAGAUAUCGUGAGGAACACUAGUGGCGAAGGCGAGACUCUGGACACUAACUGACACUGAGGCACGAAGGCUAGGGUAGCGAAAGGGAUUAGAUACCCCUGUAGUCCUAGCAGUAAACGGUGCGCGUUUGGUGUGGGCGGGUUCGACCCCGUCCGUGCCGAAGCUAACGCGUUAAACGCGCCGCCUGGGGAGUACGGCCGCAAGGCUAAAACUCAAAGAAAUUGACGGGGACCCGCACAAGCGGUGGAGUAUGUGGCUUAAUUCGAUGCAACGCGAAGAACCUUACCUAGGCUUGACAUGCUUGUCGUAGUUCUGUGAAAGCAGAUCGUCAGUUCGGCUGGACUUGCACAGGUGCUGCAUGGCUGUCGUCAGCUCGUGUCGUGAGAUGUUGGGUUAAGUCCCGCAACGAGCGCAACCCCUAUGAUUAGUUGCCAGCGAGUAAUGUCGGGGACUCUAGUCAGACUGCCUGUAUUAAACAGGAGGAAGGUGGGGACGACGUCAAGUCAGUAUGGCCCUUACGCCUAGGGCUGCACACGUACUACAAUGCCCAGUACAAUGUGAACCGAUACCGUAAGGUGGAGGAAAUCCUUAAAACUGGGCUCAGUUCGGAUUGUGGGCUGCAACUCGCCCACAUGAAGCUGGAAUCGCUAGUAAUGGCACAUCAGCUACGGUGCCGUGAAUACGUUCCCGGGUCUUGUACACACCGCCCGUCACAUCAUGGAAG